rnacentral:rRNA from 1 species
UACGAAGGGGGCUAGCGUUGCGCGGAAUGACUGGGCGUAAAGGGCGCGUAGGCGGUUCAUACAGUCAGAUGUGAAAUUCCCGGGCUUAACCUGGGGGCUGCAUUUGAUACGUGUGGGCCUGAGUGAGGAAGAGGGUUGUGGAAUUCCCAGUGUAGAGGUGAAAUUCGUAGAUAUUGGGAAGAACACCGGUGGCGAAGGCGGCAACCUGGUCCUUUACUGACGCUGAGGCGCGAAAGCGUGGGGAGCAAUCAGG